rnacentral:rRNA from 1 species
AUUGAACGCUGGCGGCAUGCUUUACACAUGCAAGUCGAACGGCAGCGCGGGGGCAACCCUGGCGGCGAGUGGCGAACGGGUGAGUAAUGCAUCGGAACGUAUCCUGUAAUGGGGGAUAACGUAGCGAAAGUUACGCUAAUACCGCAUACGCUCGAGAGAGGAAAGUGGGGAUCGCAAAGACCUCACGUUAUAGGAGCGGCCGAUGUCCGAUUAGCUAGUUGGUGGGGUAAAGGCCUACCAAGGCGACGAUCGGUAGCUGGUCUGAGAGGAUGAUCAGCCACACUGGGACUGAGACACGGCCCAGACUCCUACGGGAGGCAGCAGUGGGGAAUUUUGGACAAUGGGCGAAAGCCUGAUCCAGCCAUGCCGCGUGCGGGAAGAAGG